rnacentral:rRNA from 1 species
CGCCCUUUAGUGCUGAAGUUAACGCAUUAAGCACUCCGCCUGGGGAGUACGGCCGCAAGGUGAAACUCAAAGGAAUUGACGGGGGCCCGCACAAGCGGUGGAGCAUGUGGUUUAAUUCGAAGCAACGCGAAGAACCUUACCAGGUCUUGACAUCCUCUGAAAACCCUAGAGAUAGGGCUUCUCCUUCGGGAGCAGAGUGACAGGUGGUGCAUGGUUGUCGUCAGCUCGUGUCGUGAGAUGUUGGGUUAAGUCCCGCAACGAGCGCAACCCUUGAUCUUAGUUGCCAUCAUUAAGUUGGGCACUCUAAGGUGACUGCCGGUGACAAACCGGAGGAAGGUGGGGAUGACGUCAAAUCAUCAUGCCCCUUAUGACCUGGGCUACACACGUGCUACAAUGGACGGUACAAAGAGCUGCAAGACCGCGAGGUGGAGCUAAUCUCAUAAAACCGUUCUCAGUUCGGAUUGUAGGCUGCAACUCGCCUACAUGAAGCUGGAAUCGCUAGUAAUCGCGGAUCAGCAUGC